UACAGGGCCAGAACCGGCCCAGUUCAGUUUCUAAAGGGGAAUAACCCCCUUUUCCCUUUUAUUUUCAAUGCCAAACGACCCUUUACCCCUCUUUCCCCUAUUCCCUAUCCCAAGCCCUAGCUGCCGCGGCGCUACCCUCUCUCUCUCUUAUCUCAUCAUCUCGCCAUUUUUGGCAACGAUUUAGAGGUGUAUGGCCUUUAGCAGGCCUGGUAUGGACGAUUUGAGGCAAGCAUUAAUUGUUUGACCUCCUCUCUCCUCCAUUCUUGCUUUUCUAUGUUCAAACGGUCAAAGACUGUAAAUCUUUAAUUGUUCUUGUUUGUUUCCGAUUUUGAAUAAUGCGUUCUUAUUGGUUCUUGAAGAACUUUUGGGAUUGAGCUUUUGUUGGUCGAAAUCUGACCCUUGAUGUUCUAUUUAAUUUGAUCCUAGCCCUACAAUACUAUAUGUGAGGAGGAAAUCCCAGGUUUGGGAUUUAUCCCACAUCGAUACACCUAGGGUUUGAGGAUUUUGAGAGUUUGUAUAAAAGGGAACCUAAGUCACAUUGUUGAAAGGAGGUUGGACACUGAAAAUUACCAGAUAGUCUAUUACACUCUAAAUACCUAAGUUUUUUUUGAGCAAUUUGCUUAAAAACUUUAAGAGUUUGAGUUAGUUUUAAAAUUUUAAAGCUUUUUUUUUUUUUUUGUGGGUUUUGUGGUUUGUGCAUUUGACAUUUUGAGGAGUAAACAAGGUCUCCAAGUUCGAAUCUUGACCAAAGGAUGCACACAAAGGAGCUUGGGCCACUCGGGCCCCUCUCAUUGCACCAAAACCUCGUUGGGCCUAAGGCCCAACAUCAUUAUUCUUGAACGAGUCGUCACAAAGAAAGGAAGGCCAAUAUAUUGAAGGCCCAGUCAUGGGUAAAAAUGACACUGAUGGGUUUGGGUAGGCCUAUCAGUUGGAAUUUACUUUCUUCCCUUUUCAAUUGCCUAUAUAUCCUAUGUAUGUAUAGUAUAUGUGUAAUAAACAUGUAAAUAUUGAAUCCCCUUAUGUAUGUUUAGAA